UACGUAGGGGGCAAGCGUUGUCCGGAAUCAUUGGGCGUAAAGCGCGCGUAGGCGGCCCUGUAAGUCCGUUGUGAAAGUCAAAGGCUCAACCUUUGAAUGCCGAUGGAUACUGCAGGGCUAGAGUCCGGAAGAGGCGAGUGGAAUUCCUGGUGUAGCGGUGGAAUGCGCAGAUAUCAGGAGGAACACCAAUAGCGAGGGCAGCUCGCUGGGACGGUACUGACGCUAAGGCGCGAAAGCGUGGGGAGCGAACAGG
rnacentral:rRNA from 1 species